UGGUGGAUUGAUCUGUCUGCUUAAUUGCGAUAACGAACGAGAUCACCACCCAUCAAUAUGCAGCGGUGACGUACAUACGUAGGUCGGUUUGGGCGCUUUCGGAUCCGUUUCGGCGGGGAAGAACGUCCAGUUUACGCCGUCCGAGUCGCCGCGGCGCUUCUUAUGGGGACUGUGCACGCUUUUAGUGCACGGAAGAUGGCGCCAAUCGCA
rnacentral:rRNA from 1 species